GACGAAGGAUGCAAGCGUUAUCCGGAUUCAUUGGGUUUAAAGGGUGCGUAGGCGGACCUGUAAGUCAGUGGUGAAAUCUCUCAGCUUAACUGAGAAACUGCCAUUGAUACUGCAAGUCUAGAGUAUAGAUGACGUUGGCGGAAUAUGACAUGUAGUGGUGAAAUACUUAGAUAUGUCAUAGAACACCCAUUGCGAAGGCAGCUCGCUACACUAUUAUUGACGCUGAGGCACGAAAGCGUGGGGAUCAAACAGG
rnacentral:rRNA from 1 species